GACGGAGGAUGCAAGUGUUAUCCGGAAUCACUGGGCGUAAAGCGUCUGUAGGUGGUUCAAUAAGUCAACUGUUAAAUCUUGAGGCUCAACUUCAAAAUCGCAGUCGAAACUAUUGGACUCGAGUAUAGUAGGGGUAAAGGGAAUUUCCAGUGGAGCGGUGAAAUGCGUAGAGAUUGGAAAGAACACCAAUGGCGAAAGCACUUUACUGGGCUAUUACUAACACUCAGAGACGAAAGCUAGGGUAG
rnacentral:rRNA from 1 species